rnacentral:rRNA from 1 species
GAUGUACGCUGGCGGCGUGCUUAACACAUGCAAGUCGAACGAUGAAAGCGGGAGCUUGCUCCUGCUGGAUUAGUGGCGAACGGGUGAGUAACACGUGAGUAACCUGCCCUUGACUCUGGGAUAAGCGUUGGAAACGACGUCUAAUACCGGAUACGACCUUCGGAGGCAUCUCCUGGGGGUGGAAAGAAUUUCGGUCAAGGAUGGACUCGCGGCCUAUCAGCUAGUUGGUGAGGUAAUGGCUCACCAAGGCGACGACGGUAGCCGGCCUGAGAGGGUGACCGGCCACACUGGGACUGAGGCACGGCCCAGACUCCUACGGGAGGCAGCAGUGGGGAAUAUUGCACAAUGGGCGCAAGCCUGAUGCAGCAACGCCGCGU